UCAGGAGAAUGCUGCAUGAUAUUCGACGCCAAAAACAAGCGCUUGAGAACACCUGAAAGGUCAGGAUCUCCUCUUGUGUGGCCAUAAGGGCCACCAAGAGACCAGAGAAUGUCGGGAAGAUGAUAGUGGUGAUAUUCCCGUGCUUUGGCAAGAGGUACCUGUCAUUGGUGUUGUUCCAUUCCAUCCAGAAGUGCGAGAAGAUGCAGGCUGAGGCAUGAACUUAUGAAUUAUUUAGGUUCUUUUCUGAAAUAAAAAAUGAGGCAUGAAACACGCUUGCUUUUAGUUGAUAUUGAUAUUGGUUGCAUGGAAAAUAUUUUGUCACAAACCAGUCAGCUUAACAAAGUGGCUAUGAUAGUGUUUUCAAAUGUUUACUUUUGGCAUGGUUAUGUUGUUUUCAUGGUCCUCCCUCCG